GAAUUACUCCCUCUGUUUUGAAUUACUUGUCGCACGUAUGGAUGUAUCUAAAUGUAUUUUAAUUCUAAAUACAUCCAUUUCAGCGACAAGUAAUUUGGGAUGAAGGGAGUAUUUC
rnacentral:pre_miRNA from 1 species